rnacentral:rRNA from 1 species
GAUGAACGCUAGCUACAGGCUUAACACAUGCAAGUCGCGGGGCAGCAUGGGGGUUGCUUGCAAUCCCCGAUGGCGACCGGCGCACGGGUGAGUAACGCGUAUCCAACCUGCCCUUCACCACGGGAUAACCCGGCGAAAGUCGGACUAAUACCGUAUGUUGUCCAUUGACGGCGUCCGAUUUGGACGAAAGGUUUGGCGGUGAAGGAUGGGGAUGCGUCCGAUUAGCUGGACGGCGGGGUGACGGCCCACCGUGGCGACGAUCGGUAGGGGUUCUGAGAGGAAGGUCCCCCACACUGGAACUGAGACACGGUCCAGACUCCUACGGGAGGCAGCAGUGAGGAAUAUUGGUCAAUGGGCGUAAGCCUGAACCAGCCAAGUAGCGUGCAGGAUGACGGCCCUAUGGGUUGUAAACUGCUUUUAUGCGGGGAUAAAGUGGCCCACGUGUGGGUUUUUGCAGGUACCGCAUGAAUAAGGACCGGCUAAUUCCGUG